UUACUGCUGUGUCAUUCCCCACCAUGGUCAUUGACAUCAUCUGCUUUGCUUUCAGUUUCUUUUUCAAUCUUUUCUAGAAAGUUCUCUGUGUCAGUCUACUUUGUAAAAGGUCAAACCCGUUAGCACCACGGUUCGGCAAGGCCUCCCUGGGGAUUCUCCUCCAGGCCGUUCAGAAAAGGCAGAAACACCUCUCUCCUUGGGCUGCCAGCAGGAAGUUCUCCUACCUGACCAUACCAGAGAAGGUCGCCAGGGAGGUCAGCGCCCUCGAAAAAAUAAUGGACCACACUGCAGUGCUGACAGAUGAUGAAUAAUCAGGUCUGCUCCGCCAAGUGGCCACAUGUUCCCAAGGCUUCUAUGCCUCCCAAGGAUGACCCCAUCAUUAGGUCAGAAGGAGAAUAAUGCUGCUUCCGUCAUCAAUGUGAGAUUGAUGACCUUUCCUAAUAUGUCAAUGCUGAGAAUGAAGGUCCUGUUGCUUCCCCUGCAUCGAAGCCUAAAGAGAACUGAUUGUGAAAACUUGUCUUCACCUUAUUCUUCCUGGAAUCCUGUAGCUAUGAGGUUGUCAUGGUCACAUGUUGCAUCGUGCUGGUGCAACUGCAUCCUCGUGUGGCAUGUCUGAACUCCCCCUGCAUUUUAGAGUCAUCGCCUUCCAAGUCUUCCUUGUCUGAGGAGACAUCUAGCUCCUCAACAUCUCCCUCUGGCAACACGUGAACCCCCCUUUGCAGUGCUAGGUUGUGUCGGGCACAGCAAAAAAUGAUAAUGCAGGACAUUCUCUGUAGUGAGUAUUGGAGACCCCUGCCUGACUGGUCCAAAAAUCAGAAAUGCAUCUUCAGGUGGCCAAUAGUUUUUACUAUGAAGGAACUUGUGACAGAAUGUGAAGCAUUGUAUCACUCCUCAGAUGUCCUUGAGGAGCCAACCCUCUAAUUGCCGAAGUCCUUCAAAGAUCUGCGGCACCUGUGAAGACUCAAGACGUAAGAGUCAGGAUCAACCAGAGGCAGAUUAGUCUGGGACAACCAACACAGACAGGACAACUACUCAGCAAGAAGAACAUAACCCUGCCUAAACAGUCACCGCAGGCAGUAAGAGAGGGCCAAAUUUGUUUCCACCUGCAAGGGUAUAUCUCUUUUCUCCAGAAGCUUAGCCGCAACUUUGUAUGAAAACCCAGAAGCUUUCAACCUCCAUUUAUCUUCUGAGAGCCAAGCAAAUGAAUCCAUCAGGCCUGCAACAUUUUAUCUUAAAAGACUCAUUAAGAACAUGUAAUUAAUUUCUUGUUAUUCUGUUAAUUAUCUAAGUGCAUGCAUCACCUUUAGAAGUCAUCUUUUCUUAUGUAUUAUGUGUCUGUGUGUUUGGGAGGUGGGGGGGGUGGAAUGAGUGUUUUUGUUGCAUUUACUUUUUAGGUAUUGUGCAACUGAACAUUUUUUUUCUUCUGAUCUAAACUUACCAGAAAGCCUAUUUCAUGCCUAUUCUUUAAAGUCACAACACCCAAAAGGUUUAAAACACUCCUUCAAAAAUAUACCUUGUUGUAAACAACCAAGAAGUGAGGAAAAAGGGAAAAAGUUAUCCCACAACCUCUCCCCACCCAUAAGAUCAUUUUCUGGCAGAAAUCCAGCCCAUGGAGAGGAGGCUGGCAGUGUCUGGGAAGCAAAUCUUUGUCCUGCCCUCCCUAGCUCCAGGAAAUGGAUCUGCAGGAGAUCCUGGUCACCUGGAGCUAUGAAUGGCACACCUUUCCCAAGUUCCAGCAUUGGAAUCUUAGAAUAUUGGGGCUGAACUUGACAGUGACAUCUAUCGUCGAGACUAAAACGAGCUUAAAUGCUGCAUAGGACUCUCAGCAAGAAGAGCUGUAGAAAUAUUCUAUUUGUAUUUAAAGCUCCCACAUGAUGAGAAAGACACCCUUCUCAUUGUCAUAUGCCUUUGAUUCAUAAACAGAAGAUUGUGAUGGCUAAAACAAAAAUUAAUCAUUUAAGUUCUUCAAACUGUGCUUACAUGACAAAGGCAAAGGAUUACCAUGGCAACAGAAAAUGUCCACUAUUUAAUACUGAUAAAAGAAAAAAAUGUGCAAAUGCUGAAAAUCUGAACUUUAAUUAAUUUGUCAAAUGUGGGCAUCACAAGUAAGGCCAGCAGUUAUUGCCCAUUCCUAAUUAUCUUAAUUGAGAAAGAUGUGAUGAGCCUCUGCCUUCAACGCAACUGAGUAGUUUGCGAGGCCAUCUCAAGAGGGCAGUUCAGUGUCAACCAUAUUGAUGUGGAUCUGGAGUCAGCUGUAUGCCAGAACAGUAAGGACAGAAAAUUUCCUUCCCUAAAGGAUAUUAGUGAAUUAAAUGUGUUUUUCUGAUGACAAUCCAGUAGUUACAUGGUCAUCAUUACAAAAACUAGCUUUUUUAUUCCUGGUUUAACUUAAUUAAUUGAAUUUAAAUAAAAUUAAUUCAAUAAAAACCAGUAGUGGUGAAAAUAAGUAACAGGUCACACAGUAUUUUAAAGAACAAAAGAUACGUGAAAUAUUUCCCUAAAGAUCUCCUCAUGUGAGACAGGGGGACCUACAUCAGCACCAGAAAUACAGUUGGAGAGGAUUUCUGCCUUCCCUUGGAUGUACCCCAGUCUGGCCCAAUUCCAGGGGUCAAGAGCAUUUUAAUAUUUCAAGCAGCUGGAGCGCUAUGGUGGAGAGAAAAAUCACCACAUGUCCUUGCUGCAAGAUAGGCUGGUUUUCUGUGCAAGUUGAAGAUUUUCCAGAAAACUGAAUAACUUGCCAAUUUUCAAUUACAGAUAAAAAUACCUGACUGGAAAAGGAAAACAAGCUUCACUGAAACAAAAAAGGGAACUAGCUAAGAUAAAUUGCAAAACAAAACUAUCAGGAAUGAUUUGGGUGUAAACUAGUCAUAUAAAUACCAUAAUAGAGAUGCAACAAAAGCGGGUGUUCCUUGGAUAAGUAAAAAAUCUAAAAUUAAAAUGCAGCUCCUACUGUG